rnacentral:lncRNA from 1 species
AUGGAGGCGGCGGCGGUGAGCGCGUCCACCGGGGCGCUGAACACCCUCCUCCCCAAGCUCGCUGACCUCCUCCUCCUCGUCGCCGGCGAGAACCACAGCAGCAGGCGCGCGGUCGAGGACGGCGUCGAGCACCUCGAGAGCGAGCUGACCAGCAUGCGCGCCGCCCUCGAGAAGGUGUCGGCGGCGGCGGCGCCGCCCGACCAGCUCGACGGGCAGGUCAGGCUGUGGGCGAGGGACGUCCGCGACAUGUCCUACCACAUCGAGGACGCCAUCGACACCUACCUGCUCCGUGAGGCCGCCGCCGCCGGACGACGACCACAACCACCACCGUGCUGCUCCUUCGUCGUCGGCUUGAACAGCUCGGCUCGCCGCCGGCGCCGAGCCAUCGCCGCCGAGAUCGAGCGCAUCAAGAAGGAGGUGGCGGAGGUGAGCAGGCGCCGGGAAAGGUACAGGAUCGACGACCACGUCGUCGCCGUCGUCAAUGACGCUCCGGUGGACCGCCGGCUGCCGGCGCUGUACGCGAACUUCGCAAGCCUCGUCGGCGUCGACGCCUCAGUGGAGGAGGUGAUCAAGCUGUUAUCCAUGGAAGGAGAUCAAGGUGCAGUGAUGAUGAGGCGAAAGCUCAAGCUGAUCGCCAUUGUUGGGCCAGGAGGAAUCGGAAAGACAACCCUAGCUAAUCUUGUGUAUCAGAAGCUCCAUGGCCAAUUCGAAUGCCAAGCUUUCGUCUCGGUUUCUCAAAAGCCAAACGUCAAGGCUGUUCUUAGCAGCAUACUCUGUCAAGUGAGCCAACUCAAAUAUGAAAAUUUCAGUUCUUGGGGUGAGAAGGAAAUCAUCGACAAAAUCAGGGAUGUUCUCAAGGAUAUCAGGUACUUCAUUAUUAUUGAUGAUAUAUGGGAUAAACCAACAUGGCAACUUCUAAAAUGUGUUCUCAUCGACAAUGAUCAUGGUAGCAAAAUAAUCACCACUACUCGCAACAUUGAUGUUGCAAAGUUGUGUUGCUAUUCUGAUGAUGUUGAUGGUACCAUACAAAUACAACAGCCUCUUUCAGUUGCUGACUCUGAAAAACUACUAUAUCACAAAGUAUUCCAUAAUGAAAGAUGCCCUCCUCAGCUUAAGGGCAUAUCUCAGAAAAUUUUGAAAAGAUGUGGUGGCUUACCAUUAGCUAUAAUUACUAUUGCUAGCUUAUUUGCAAAUAGGCAGACACAAACUGAGGACCACUGGAACUCGGAUUAUAUCAUCGACAGAGAUGACCUGAUAUGGAGAUGGAUAGCUGAAGGUUUUAUCCAGCCAAAACAAGGUACAAUUCUAUAUGAAAAAGGAGAGAGAUACUUUGAUGAACUCAUUAAUAGAAACUUGAUCCAACCGAUAUGCAUUGAUGUGCAUGCUGAGGCGCAAGCUUGUCGUGUGCAUGAUACCAUACUAGAAUUUAUCGCCGGUUUAUCAAUUGAAGAAAAUUUUGUUGCAAUUUUAAAUGGUCAGUGUUCGACGUCGGAUCUACCGAAAAGGAUCUACCGGUUAUCCCUACAAAACAGCAAGGAUGAUAUUACAAUACCUGAUGCAACCGAGAGAUUUUCCCAUGUGAGGUCACUUUGGCAAGGUAUUGAUUUGAAGAUGCCCCUUUCGGGCUUUCGAGUUUUGCGUGCCUUGGAUUUAGGAGAUUGCAGCAGUCAAAAUAUUGAUAAUAUAGGUAAUUUGGUUCACCUGAGGUAUCUAAGGUUGCAUGGUACACAUUAUAAUAAGCUUCCAAAAGAAAUUGGAAACCUAAGAUUUUUGCAAACAUUAGAUAUUAAGCGGACAAGAAUAAAAGAAUUGCCAUCAACUGUUGUACAUCUUACACAACUUAUGCGUCUUAUGGUGGACAGAUGGACAAAGUUGCCAAAUGGGAUUGGGAAUAUGGAAUGUCUAGAACAACUGUCAGAGAUUGAUACCAGCAUGUAUCCAAGUCUUAUGAAAGAGCUAAGCGAUCUGCCCAAUCUACGGGUUCUAGAAAUUUUGAUAAGCACAUGGGAGCAGACCAAAGAGGAACAAUUUCUUGAUUGUUUAGGCUCUAUGAAGAAACUUCAAAUUGUCCAUAUUUUUGCUCCAGAUAUAUCCCUUGAUUUCAUGUUGAAUAAAGAUUGGACCCUUCAUGAACUCCAAAAACUUACAGUUGGUGUUCGCCGAGAAAGCGAAGACAUAUUUAAGCUCAACCCAUUGUCUGGGUGGGCUGAGUUUAGCCCAUUCUCUAUCCUACCAAAGUGGAUCAAUUCAUCACUCACCAAUCUCUCAUACUUAUCGAUCAUUGUCAAGAUACUACAACAAAAAGAUCUUGGAGUUCUUGGGGACUUGCCUGCACUUUGUUCUCUAUACUUGAGCGUGACAGGUGCUUUAAAGGAAAGAUUGAUGAUAAUAGGUCAUAGUAGAGGUAAUGGUCAGGCAAUAGCAUUCCAAUGUCUGGCUAACUUCAACUUUACAAGUCCUGCAAUGAUGCUAGUUUUUAGACAUGGAGCCAUGCAGAGGCUUCAAAUGCUUUCCUUUUGUUUUCAACUAAAGGAGACAAAAGUUUUUCACAGUGAUUUGGACAUGGGCUUGGAGAAUCUCACCUCCCUCAAGACUGUACAUUUUCGGAUUGACUGUCGUUACGCUAGGCUCUGGGAGGUGCAGGCUGCAGAGGUUGCACUAAGAAGUGCAACCAACUUGAAUCUCAACUCCCCAACCCUUGACUUGAGCAAACAUUUUGAAAGAUUGAUGUAUUGGGAUGGAAUGGAAGAGAUCCCUGAGAUGAAAAUAUUCAAAGAAGAAAAUGUAUUUUUUUUGCAGCAAUCCCUUAAAUUUAUUUCCUUCUCAUUUUACUGUAGAAUUAUUGGUUUAUCGGUUUGUUGUUAGGUUGGGAUUG